GACGAACCGUGCGAACGUUAUUCGGAAUCACUGGGCUUAAAGCGCGUGUAGGCGGGCCGCCACGUCGGGCGCUGAAAUCCCCCGGCUCAACCGGGGAACGGGCACCGAUACGAGCGGCCUGGAGGGAGUAGGGGGACCUGGAACUUCCGGUGGAGCGGUGAAAUGCGUUGAGAUCGGAAGGAACGCCCGUGGCGAAAGCGAGGUCCUGGGCUCCUGCUGACGCUGAGACGUGAAAGCGUGGGGAGCGAACAGG
rnacentral:rRNA from 1 species